CAGUCGCCGCGGGAAUACGAAGGGGGCUAGCGUUGCUCGGAAUGACUGGGCGUAAAGGGCGCGUAGGCGGAUUGUUUAGUUAGGCGUGAAAUUCCUGGGCUUAACCUGGGGACUGCGCUUAAUACAGGCAGUCUAGAGUGAGGAAGAGGGUUGUGGAAUUCCCAGUGUAGAGGUGAAAUUCGUAGAUAUUGGGAAGAACACCGGUGGCGAAGGCGGCAACCUGGUCCUUGACUGACGCUGAGGCGCGAAAGCGUGGGGAGCAAACAGGAUUAGAUACCCCGGUAGUCCCUGUCUCUUAUAC
rnacentral:rRNA from 1 species